rnacentral:rRNA from 1 species
CCUACGGGGGGCUGCAGUGGGGAAUAUUGGACAAUGGGGGCAACCCUGAUCCAGCCAUGCCGCGUGUGUGAAGAAGGCCCUCGGGUUGGAAAGCACUUUCAGUGAGGAAGAACGCCUGGUGGUUAAUACCCAUCAGGAAAGACAUCACUCACAGAAGAAGCACCGGCUAACUCCGUGCCAGCAGCCGCGGUAAUACGGAGGGUGCGAGCGUUAAUCGGAAUUACUGGGCGUAAAGCGCGCGUAGGUGGCUUGAUAAGCCGGUUGUGAAAGCCCCGGGCUCAACCUGGGAACGGCAUCCGGAACUGUCAAGCUAGAGUGCAGGAGAGGAAGGUAGAAUUCCCGGUGUAGCGGUGAAAUGCGUAGAGAUCGGGAGGAAUACCAGUGGCGAAGGCGGCCUUCUGGACUGACACUGACACUGAGGUGCGAAAGCGUGGGUAGCAAACAGGAUUAGAUAUCCGGGUAGUC